rnacentral:rRNA from 1 species
GAUGAACGCUGGCGGCGUGCCUAAUACAUGCAAGUCGAGCGAACAGAUAAGGAGCUUGCUCCUUUGACGUUAGCGGCGGACGGGUGAGUAACACGUGGGUAACCUACCUAUAAGACUGGGAUAACUUCGGGAAACCGGAGCUAAUACCGGAUAACAUUUGGAACCGCAUGGUUCUAAAGUGAAAGAUGGUUUUGCUAUCACUUAUAGAUGGACCCGCGCCGUAUUAGCUAGUUGGUAAGGUAACGGCUUACCAAGGCGACGAUACGUAGCCGACCUGAGAGGGUGAUCGGCCACCCUGGAACUGAGACACGGUCCAGACUCCUACGGGAGGCAGCAGUAGGGAAUCUUCCGCAAAGGGCGAAAGCCUGACGGAGCAACGCCGCGUGAGUGAUGAAGGGUUUCGGCUCGUAAAACUCUGUUAUUAGGGAAGAACAAAUGUGUAAGUAACUGUGCACGUCCUGACGGUACCUAAUCAGAAAGCCACGGCUAACUACGUG